UACGAAGGGGGCUAGCGUUGCUCGGAAUGACUGGGCGUAAAGGGCGCGUAGGCGGCACACAUAGUCAGGCGUGAAAUCCCCGGGCUUAACCUGGGAACUGCACUUGAAACUACGAUGCUGGAGUAUGGCAGAGGGAGGUGGAAUUCCACGUGUAGCGGUGAAAUGCGUAGAGAUGUGGAGGAACACCGAUGGCGAAGGCAGCCUCCUGGGCCAACACUGACGCUCAUGCACGAAAGCGUGGGGAGCAAACAGG
rnacentral:rRNA from 1 species